CAACCCAUACAGCGAUGUAUGGCUGAACUAUCAGAAGUCAGCAGAGGCCAUAGUAUAUAGGUGGUCAUGAACACCUAUAGAAGGGC
rfam:Thermovenabulum gondwanense strain R270 ATZ99_contig000007, whole genome shotgun sequence.